CUUUAAAGGUUUGGUCCCAGCCUUUCUAUUAGUUCUUAACAGACUUACACAUGCAAGCAUCUACAUCCCAGUGAGAAUGCCCUCUAAAUCACAAAGAUCAAAAGGAGCGGGUAUCAAGCGCGCUAGCACUAGCAGCUCACAACACCUCGCUUAAGCCACACCCCCACGGGACACAGCAGUGAUAAAAAUUAAGCUAUGAACGAAAGUUUGACUAAGUCAUGUUAAUUAAGGGUUGGUAAACUUCGUGCCAGCCACCGCGGUCAUACGAUUGACCCAAAUUAAUAGAAAUACGGCGUAAAGAGUGUUAAAGAGUCACAUAAAAUAAAGUCAAACCUUAAUUAAGCUGUAAAAAGCCCUAAUUAAAACUAAGCCAAACUACGAAAGUGACUUUAAUAUGAUCUAAUCACACGACAGCUAAGACCCAAACUGGGAUUAGAUACCCCACUAUGCUUAGCCGUAAACCCUAAUAGUCACAAAACAAGACUAUUCGCCAGAGUACUACUAGCAACAGCUUAAAACUCAAAGGACUUGGCGGUGCUUCAUACCCCUCUAGAGGAGCCUGUUCUGUAACCGAUAAACCCCGAUCAACCUCACCAACCCUUGCUACUUCAGUCUAUAUACCGCCAUCUUCAGCAAACCCUAAAAGGGAACGAAAGUAAGCAUAACCAUCCUACAUAAAAACGUUAGGUCAAGGUGUAACCUAUGGGUUGGGAAGAAAUGGGCUACAUUUUCUAAGCUAAGAAUAUCCCCUAUAUCCACACGAAAGUUUUUAUGAAACUUAAAAACUAAAGGAGGAUUUAGUAGUAAAUCAAGAGCAGAGUGCUUGAUUGAAUAAGGCCAUGAAGCACGCACACACCGCCCGUCACCCUCCUCAAGUACCCCAGCUAAAGCCCCAGUCCAUUAACCCAGGCCAAGCAAUUCGUACAAGAGGAGACAAGUCGUAACAAGGUAAGCAUACCGGAAGGUGUGCUUGGACAAAA
rnacentral:ncRNA from 1 species